rnacentral:misc_RNA from 1 species
GAAGAUGAAGAACUGGUGAUCACCAGCGAGGAAGCUGAAACUAAUGAACCAGCUGCAAGUUAUUAUGAUGAAGAAGUUGCUGAGGCAAAACUUAAACUGAUUAUCAGGAAAUGGAAGCGACGUUCUUUAAAGAAAAGGGAGAUGCGAGAGGAGAAACAGUUAGCAUCUAAAGCUGCUCUGAGUUCUCUCUCUCUUGGAGUUCCAAUGUGGCCCAACAGAAUUCAACAUAGCACAACAGUCGAGUUCAACAUUGAUCAUGCUGUCUCAAAAUGGUACCGAACUCUGGAAAAAUCAUGGUCAAGGCUGAAUGUUUCAGAUGUAGUUGCCACCACAUUAUAUGAAAAAAAUGCAGCUGCCAGAUGCCUUUGCUGGAAAGUAAUAAUAUGUUGUGAGGAUAAUAAUAUAAACAAUCUGAACCCAAAAAAUGGCGUGGACCAGUUGAAUGCCAAGUCCUGGUUGCUUUCCAAGCUCAUGCCUGCAAGAGAAGAUGAAGAUGAUACACUAAUUACGUCUCCAGGCCUGUCUGUUUGGAGGAAUUGGAUUCUUAAUGAAUCAGGCGGGGACCUUAUUUGUUGUUUAUCAGUUAUCAAGUACAGUAAUUUUGAGAAUCUGAAUGAGACUGUAGCAGGUGCAAGUGCAGUUCUCUUUCUGUUGUCAGAAGGUAUCCCAUGGGUUCUUCAGAAAAAUCAGCUUCAUAGACUGUUAAUGUCUGUACCUUCUGGUUCUCAGUUACCCCUUUUGAUUGUAAGUGAGCUGUGCAAAGAAAAUGCAGAUCCUUCCACUAUAGUUAAAGAACUGGAGCUACAUGAAGUCCAUGAAUCAAGACUUCAUUCCUUUAGUGUUGUUUACCUAAAAAACCAGCAGAUGGAACAGUUGAAUGGGUUUUUCAGCGAUGAACAAUUAAGAGGAGGACUGAAGUGGCUGGCAAGUGAAUCACCACCACAACCAGUUAUCCAGUGUGUAAAAGUCAGAGAACUGGUUCUCUACCAUUUGAAUUCUUUGCUUGGGGUUCUUGGUGAAAUGAAUGUUUGUGAUGUUGGUCCAGACAAUUGUAUCUCAGCCUUUAACGAGGCCUUGGAUCAGUCUAUGAGGGAAAUAGCUGCUGCAGCUCAUGCUAAUCCUACCUGUUGGCCCUGUCCGGAGGUGACCAUUCAUUUUUAAUACCUGCAAGCUUGCUGAUGAUGGGAUGUGUAUAUGUUUUCUUAGUCGUUUCAGCAAUUGAGUCGCAAUGUCGAGUUAAAGCCUUUUCCAUGGGUUUAUGCUCAAUGCUGUGACCUCUCUGUUGACUGAGUUUGUGUCAGUAGCGUUCUCAUGUGAUCAAGGCAUCAGGGUGACUUUCU